rnacentral:rRNA from 1 species
AUUGAACGCUGGCGGCAGGCCUAACACAUGCAAGUCGAACGAGUGGCGGACGGGUGAGUAAUGUCUGGGAAACUGCCCGAUGGAGGGGGAUAACUACUGGAAACGGUAGCUAAUACCGCAUACCAUCGGAUGUGCCCAGAUGGGAUUAGCUAGUAGGUGGGGUAACGGAUCACCUAGGCGAGGAUCCCUAGCUGGUCUGAGAGGAUGACAAGCCACACUGGAACUGAGACACUGUCCAGACUCCUACGUGAGGCAGCAGUGGGGAAUAUUUCACUGUGGGCGCAAGCCUGGUGCAGCCAUGCCGCGUGCAUGAAGAAGGCCUUCGGGUUGUAAAGUACUUUCAGCGAGGAGGCGUUGCUCGCAGAAGAAGCACCGGCUAACUCCGUGCCAGGAGCCGCGGUAAUAG